UAUUAGAAUUUUCACAUACUUUUAUAUCAAUUUUUUUUAACAAUAAUUGUGUCCUCUGUCUUUUUUUCUUUAAGUACUUUUUAAAGCCUUGUUGCAUCUCAUUUUUUUUGUUGAACGUCGUCCGGUUGAAGAGUAACACCACCGGCUAUGUACCAAGGUUUCCUUCAUAUGGUUUUCGACCUCCCAAUCUCGGUCUCUUUGUUUCGAUUUCACGGACAACAAUUCUCACCUACAUUUUCUUUAAAGAUUUCGUUUGGACGGUUUCCGUCUAUCGGAAUCUUUUUAUCUCUUUGUUCUCAGAGGUGUUUACAACCCUAACGGGUUUAUUCCUUUAUAUGUUCUUCAUUACUCAUUCAAGUUUCACCUUCUAGUAGGUGCUAUUACAUUUGUGCCGGACUAUAUCCACAUUUAGAUCUUUGUAUUAUUUGAUGGGUAGUUUCCGAUAUUUAAUGCAAUAAUUGCCGAG
rnacentral:lncRNA from 1 species